rnacentral:rRNA from 1 species
UACAGAGGUCUCAAGCGUUGUUCGGAUUUAUUGGGCGUAAAGGGCGCGUAGGCGGCGGGGUAAGUCGGGUGUGAAAUCUCAGGGCUCAACCCUGAAACUGCACUUGAUACUGCUCUGCUUGAGGACUGGAGAGGAGACUGGAAUUCACGGUGUAGCAGUGAAAUGCGUAGAUAUCGUGAGGAAGACCAGUGGCGAAGGCGGGUCUCUGGACAGUUCCUGACACUGAGGCACGAAAGCCAAGGGAGCAAACAGG